GACACAGCUCAAGACCUCGAGCUUGCAGAGAGAGCUGAGUGAGAAACGAGGAGAGAUCUUCUCCCUCCAUCACAGACUCAUAGAGUGCAUGGACAAGGUGGCUGAACUCAGAGGGACACCCUUUAUCCCCCUGCCUUCUUACCCCCCUGGCCACAAGCCGCCCCACAAGCGAGUGAGAGACAGCUGGAGGAAGAUGUGGGCCGGAACUCGCCUUUAUGUGAUUGCUGAGGAGAAGCGGACCACCUCCUCCCUGUAGGCUACUGAUCCCCGCAGCUGUCUUCCCCAUGUCCUCCCAACAACAUCGCUGCCUCCAACAUAAGGCUGUGUCUGUCUACAGACCACAGUGAGGCCCCUGCCUUGACCAUUAGUGUCUACUAUCAUCAUCACCAUCAUGAUCAUCAUCACCACAUUAUUAUUAUUAUUAUUAUUAUUAUUACUAUUUUUAUCAUUAUUAU